UAAUACGUAGGUGGCAAGCGUUACUCGGAAUUACUAGGCGUAAAGCGCGUGUAGAUGGUUUGAUAAGUCGAACGUGAAAUCUCCCGGCUCAACCGGGAGGGGUCGUUUGAAACUAUCAGACUUGAGUGUGGGAGGGGAAUUUGGAAUUCCUGGUGUAGCGGUGAAAUGCGUAGAUAUCAGGAGGAAUACCAAUGGCGAAGGCAGAAUUCUGGCCCAAUACUGACAUUGAGACGCGACAGCUAGGGGAGCAAACAGGAUUAGAUACCCUGGUAGUCCUAGCCGUAAACGAUGUUCAUUAGGUGUGGGAGGUAUCGACCCCUUCCGCGCCGUAGCUAACGCAUUAAAUGAACCGCCUGGGGAGUACGGCCGCAAGGUUG
rnacentral:rRNA from 1 species